rnacentral:lncRNA from 1 species
ACAGCACCCUCAGUGAUGGUUUUCAGAAGACCUUGUUAGCUCCUCUCCUCCAGAGACCCAUCCUUCGCUGACAUCCCACCGAUUUGGGAGCAGGAAAAAACAGACUCCUGCAAAAUACCUCUUCUUCCAGUGCCCUGUACCCCUCUCUACUUACUUCGAGUCCCUGCAGUCCAGCAACAACCCCAAACGAGUGAAGGGAGGAGACAUAGGUUUGUCCAGGCUCUGCCACCGACGGGUGAUUUGGGAUGAGUCCUUCUCCAGUAUCAUUAUCUUCAACUGUAAAACAUGAGGGUUAGUCCGAAUGAUCUCCAAACGCUUCAGCAUUAAAGAUACAGUGAGAAGGUACCAUCUAUGAAUCAGAAAGUGGGCCCUCAUCUGAACAUGACCAUGCUGGCACCACGAUCUUGGACUUCUCAGCCCCCAGAACUAACAGUUCAACUUGGAGCACCCGCUAUAUGCCCCACGCUGUGACAGACUCUCAGGGGACACCAAGGGAAGUAAGGCCCAGCUCCCGCCUCAAAGAGCUGACCAUCAACUGGCGGGGAUUAGACAAUGAGAGAAGUCCAAGCUAAAGAAAGUACCACAGGAGAAACACCAGGCGCUUGAGGUUUCAAAGGAGGGAAAGGAUAUAUCAGCAGCUAUUAUGCAGCAUGAUCAUCUUCCUCAUACUCUAGACCUCCAGCCAAGUGACUUCUGGCUCUUCCCAACUAUCAAAUCCCUAAAGGAACGAGAUGUUCCUGUGCUGAGGAGGUCCAAAAGAAUGUGCUGUAGAUUCAAAAGCCAUUUCCACAAGGAGCAUUCCAAGGAUAUUUGAAGAAAUCCAGAGUCCCUGGAAAGCACAGCUUCUCCAGAUGACCACCUAGAAGAGGGUAGCAUCUCCGUACCUGUGCUGGUUGGCUCUUAAAUAAUCAGUCCCUUUCCCA